AUUGAACGCUGGCGGCAUGCCUUACACAUGCAAGUCGAACGGCAGCAUGAUCUAGCUUGCUAGAUUGAUGGCGAGUGGCGAACGGGUGAGUAAUACAUCGGAACGUGCCCUGUAGUGGGGGAUAACUAGUCGAAGGAUUAGCUAAUACCGCAUACGACCUGAGGGUGAAAGUGGGGGACCGCAAGGCCUCAUGCUAUAGGAGCGGCCGAUGUCUGAUUAGCUAGUUGGUGAGGUAAAGGCUCACCAAGGCGACGAUCAGUAGCUGGUCUGAGAGGACGAUCAGCCACACUGGGACUGAGACACGGCCCAGACUCCUACGGGAGGCAGCAGUGGGGAAUUUUGGACAAUGGGCGAAAGCCUGAUCCAGCAAUGCCGCGUGUGUGAAGAAGGCCUUCGGGUUGUAAAGCACUUUUGUCCGGAAAGAAAUGGCUCUGGUUAAUACCUGGGGUCGAUGACGGUACCGGAAGAAUAAGGACCGGUUAACUACGUG
rnacentral:rRNA from 1 species